rnacentral:rRNA from 1 species
UGCGCAGGUGGGAUAGUAAGUCAGUGGUGAAAUACUGCCGCUUAACGGUAGAGCUGCCAUUGAUACUGCUGUUCUUGAGUAUGGUUGAGGUAGGUGGAAUGUGUUGUGUAGCGGUGAAAUGCAUAGAUAUGACACAGAACGCCGAUUGCGAAGGCAACUUACUAAGCCAUUACUGACGCUGAGGCACGAAAGCGUGGGUAGCGAACAGGAUUAGAUACCCUGGUAGUCC